rnacentral:rRNA from 1 species
UACGAAGGGGGCUAGCGUUGUUCGGAUUUACUGGGCGUAAAGCGCACGUAGGCGGUUUGUUAAGUCAGGGGUGAAAAUCCCAGAGGCUCAACUCUGGAACUGCCUUUGAUACUGGCAAGCUCGAGUCCGGAAGAGGUAAGUGGAACUCCUAGUGGUAAGAGGUGGAAUUCGUAGAUAUUAGGAAGAACACCAGUGGCGAAGGCGGCUUACUGGUCCGGAACUGACGCUGAGGUGCGAAAGCGUGGGGAGCAAACAGG